AAUGAAAUAUUCCCAUAAAUAUCUAAUUAAACCGCAAGUCAAAAAUACUAUUUUAUGAAUAAAUAAAUAAUUCGUCCAACAAAACCAAGAAUAACUAACAAUCCUAACCGGGUUCCAAUAACCAAAAACACCAAAAAUAAAACAAACGAGUUCCUAGAUCAUCCUCUCUUCCUUGCCAUGAUUCCACGAUCACACUUUAUCUUUACCUGCAUCAACAACACAAUGAGAUGCGUAAGUAUUAUCAUAAAUACUUAGUGAGGCGAUCCUCCCAUCUACGAGCUAUACACACAAGCAAAUAAAAAGGUAUAAUCACGAAUACAAUACAAACAAACCAGUCAUUGAACAAUUCACCCAAAACACAUCCACCACACCUACAUAUCAUCACACAAAACAAAUCACACAACCCAAUCGCUCAGAUAAGCUCAUGGUCACGCACUCACCUUAACAAAUUGAUUCUAAUAGCAAUUAAACCCAGGAGAGUCUCUCCUUGCGUCUGAAACAAUCCAGAAACGUCCUACAACAAGUUCACAACCAAAAGCAACCUUGAAGCAAACUGGACAGGAAAAACCAGAAACAAGCAGUCUCAAAGACGAAACCCUAAAAUACAAACAGACGAGACCACGAUCUCAGUUUCAAUCUCCGCUGGUCCUAAUUCGCGUCUGAGAAAACGUGUCUCACGAAACUGCAAAUAACUCAACCAAUUUUAAUCCAAAUCCAAUUCUGUAAACUGAAGAAUAACGAUAAAGGACUUGGGAAUAACUCUACCAAAUUUCGUUACCUUUUACCACGAUUUGAUAUGACGAAACUGAUUUCUCCCAAACCCUAACGAUUCUGCUCCUUCUCCUUUUCUCUCUUUUUCUCCUUUAUAAAACGAAAAGUGGCUAACCAAAGCCCUAAUUUCGAGUUUCCUUCUUUUAUAGGCAUACUCUAGGGUUUCCAAUUAACCCAACCAAUUAAACCGGAUGAUUUAAAAACAAACCCUAACCGAUUUUCCGGUUCACGGGCGUUACAAUUCUCCCCCACUAACAUAGAUUCGUCCUCGAAUCUAGCUUCACCCUUCCACUCCGAGGAACUCCGUGCAACCAUCACUACAGUCCGCACUCCCUCCAACCAGACCCCCUCUAGGUCUCUCUAUCCAGUCGAUAUACUCACGAUUUACUAGUCAUUGUUGCUCACAACUCACUCUCCACUCUCGGACCGCAAUCUUCGAGCAUAAACCGUCACUCUCAGGCCUCGGCCUACGGUAUCUCGGGUAUCACACAUAUUAUCUUCCCCACUCAAAGUCAAACCCUGAGUUGUGUUGGCUCACUCUCAGCCACAAAGUCAUCGAGUUACGACACUUGGAGAAAAUAAUACCACAAAACUCGCUCUCGGGUCGUCACCCUAAAGCGUGCUCUCGGAUCGUCACCCGAAGCCACCGUACCCCUCGUACUCUAAAGACACCAUGUCCCUCGAGUUACCGGUACCUCAGGAGCAUACCCCGCUCCUCACGAGUCGUUGGGACCCUCAUGUCCCUCGAGCAACAAUACUAAACGCUUCCGAGCAUAUCUCCAGACUCUCUCAUGGAUUCGCGUAAGACACCUCUAUGCCUCACCAUCCAUCAUAUCCCCUCGAAAACAUCCUUAUGACCAACUCCCGGCCAUCUCGUAAACACACCUUUCUCUUAGGUUGUUUACUCAAACUUUCCGAAAAUAGACAAGUCCUUUCUAGGAAACUUUCCAUUUUUGGAAACCGCACAACACAAUCUUAAAUAAGACAACUCAAGUCAAAUCCAAGAAAAAAUACUCAUCUUAUUAAUCAUCAACUGUCAUGAUCGUUACAACUCCAAACGAAAAUACAAAUGAAAGAGAAAUAAGAACAACAACUCAAAAGCUCAAAAACUCAACAACACUGAAACUGGAAACCAAGGAAAGGCAAACUCAUGCAGCAACCUGCUUCUCGAACCACUUCUUGAACCUUGCCUUCAUCCUCGCCUCUGGCUCCCAAGUCUCCUCUGUCACACCAUCGCAGUCCCACAGGACUUUGAUCAAAGGAAUCUUCUUCCGCCGAAGUUCCUUGAUCCUCCUCUCGAGAACCCUCACUGGUCUCGCCUCCAAAGUCAUGUUGGGCUGAAGAUCCUCUGGAAUCUUAGCCAACACCUCAUCAUCCUUGUGAAGACACUUCCUCAGCAUCGACACAUGAAAGACCUUGUGAAACGCACGCAUAACAUCAGGCAACUCUAACCUGUAUGCCACUGGUCCCACCCUCUCAACAAUCCUGAACGGACCCAUGUACCUCGGACUCAACUUAGUCUCUGAGAUAGACCUGUUCGGACCUCGCAACAUGGCCAUCUUAAGAUACACUCUGUCCCCAACCUCAAACUCAAGCUCUCUCCUCCUCUUGUCAGCAUAACUCCGCUGUCGAUCCUGAGCUUCCUUCAUGUUCAGCUUAAGAACCCGGAUCCUCUCUAUGGUCUCCUGAACAUAAUCUGCACCAUAUAUGCUCCUCUCCCCCACUUGGGUCCAGCAUAACGGUGUCCUGCAUGGCCUCCCGUACAACGCCUCAAAAGGAGCCAUCCCAAUACUCGCCUGAUAGCUAUUGUUAUAAGCAAACUCUACAAGACUCAAGUGAUCCGCCCAAUGACCUCCCCAAUCCUAGACACACAUCCGCAACAUAUCCUCAAGCGUCUGAAUAGUCCUCUCAGAUUGCCCAUCUCUCUGUGGAUGAUAAGCCGUGCUCAUCUGCACCUUAGUACCCAUCUCUGCCUGAAAGGCUCUCCAAAAUCCAGAAGUAAACUUGGAAUCCCUGUCUGACACAAUACUCACAGGUACUCCAUGCAACUUCACGAUCUCGUUCACAUAUUUCUUAGCCAACACCGCCGCUCCAUCGGUUUUUCUGAUGGCCAGAAAAUGUGCUGACUUAGUCAAACGGUCCACGAUCACCCAAAUAGCAUCUUUGGUUCGCGACACAAGCAACCCAACCACAAAAUCCAUCGUGAUAAAAUCCCACUUCCACUCAGGAAUGGGUAAACUCUGCAACAUGCCACCUGGCACCUGAUGCUCAGCCUUAACUAACUGGCAAACAUUGCAGUCUGCAACCCAAUUAGCUACAUCCCUCUUCAUCCCUACCCACUGAUAGUACCGCUUGAGGUCUCGGUACAUCUUAGUCGCUCCUGGAUGAAUGGAAAACAUGCUCGCAUGAGCCUCACUCAAGAUCUCCCGUCGCAACUCCUCAUCCUUAGGCACACAAACUCGCUCAUGCACAAGGAUAGUCCCAUUAGCUGCAAACUGAUACUCAGAGCCCUCUACCUUAGAAGCCGCAAUCAACCCCUCAUCCUUCUCCUGAGCCAACCGAACUCUAGUCAGAAGAUCUGCUCGAUCCACGAGUUCCAAUCCCAAUGGCUCUCGUGCCACAGCACACAACCGCAAAGCACCAAUCUCACUCACCAAGGCCUCAACACUCUGCCCUGGAGCCGCGCCCACGCGCUUACGGCUCAACGCGUCUGCAACCACAUUAGCCUUACCAGGAUGGUAAGCUAUCUCCAGAUCAUAAUCAGCCACCAGCUCCAUCCAUCGCCUCUGCCUCAGGUUCAGCUCUGGCUGAGUGAAGAUAUACUUCAAACUCUUAUGAUCCGUGAACACCUGCACUUUCCCACCAUAAAGAUAAGACCUCCAAAUCUUCAAGGCAAAGAUUACUGCAGCCAUCUCCAAAUCGUGAGUAGGAUAGUUGCCCUCAUGCUUCCUCAACUGUCGUGAUGCAUAAGCAAUAACCUUCCCACGCUGCAUUAAAACACAACCCAAACCAACUCUCGAGGCAUCAGUAUACACCAUGUAAGGCUGUCCAUGCUCUGGCAAUGCUAACACUGGUGUACUCGUCAACAUCUCCUUCAGGCUCACGAAACCCUCCUUGCACUCCGGUGACCACACAAAAGGAACAUCCUUCCCUGUCAGCUUAGUCAUCGACUGUGCCAUACUCGCAAACCCCUUGACGAACCUCCUGUAAUACCCUGCCAACCCAAGAAAACUCCUGAUCUCAGUGGCAUUCGUCGGUCUAGGCCAAUCUCUGAUAGCCUCAAUCUUCUCUGAAUCCACUGAAACUCCCUCUGCAGAAACAAUGUGACCCAGAAAACCCAUUUCUCUCUGCCAGAAACUGCACUUACUCAACUUAGCGAACAACUUCUACUCCCGCAGCUUCUCCAUCACUCUCCUCAGAUGUACCUCAUGCUCCUCAGGACUCUUAGAAUACACCAGAAUGUCAUCAAUAAAGAUGAUCACAAACUCAUCCAAAAACUCCUGGAACACGCUGUUCAUCAACCUCAUGAACACUGCAGGUGCAUUAGUCAACCCGAAAGGCAUCACCACGAACUUAAAAUGUCCAUAUCUCGUCCUGAAAGCAGUCUUGCGAACAUCUGCCUCCGCUAUCGGGAUCUGGUGAUAACCCGACGUCAAAUCGAUUUUGGAGAAACAAGUAGCACCCCUCAACUGAUCCAACAACUCAUCGAUCCUUGGCAAAGGGUACUUGUUCUUCACAGUGACCUGGUUCAACCCUCGGUAGUCAAUACAUAAGCGGAAACUCCUGUCCUUCUUCUUCACAAAUAACACCGGCGCUCCCCAAGGUGAAGUACUAGGACGAAUGAAUCCCUUACCCAAUAAAUCCUCUAGCUGCUUCUUUAGCUCUGCCAUCUCUGCUGGAGCCAUCCUGUAGGGUGCCUUAGACAACGCCGCUGUCCCUGGUUCCAACUCAAUCAUGAAAGGAUCAGACCGUGAUGGUGGUAAUCCCUGCAACGAUUGAAACACAUCCUCGAACUCCUGAACAACCCGAAUGCCUCGCAGCCCUUCUCGAUCAUUUUCUCUGCCUGCACUGCUGAGAUGACGAGACUCCCUGAGAUACGUCUCACUCCCUGAUAAACCAACCUUCCCUCUGGCCGCUCAAAAGAAACUCUCCCACGGUGGCAGUCAAGAUGUACUCUGUAAUGAUCCAACCAAUCCAUUCCCAGAAUAACAUCAUACAACUCUACAGGGCUGAUAAUCAAAUCUGCUGGCAUUGACUCCCUUGCAAUCUGAAUAUCUACACCCUUCGCUCUCUCCAGAACCGCUAGAAACUGCCCUCCAGCAACCUUGACGUGGAGAUGUCCCCUCUCCCUGCAGUGGUAGCACUCCCUCGUCUCAGCUCGCUGCGUGCAACCCGCCACCUUGUGGUCAAGGCUCCCACAAGAAAAACAUCCUGCACGACCACCCUGGCCAGCUCUGGAAGGAUGAUCCCACUUCCUCUUCUGCCCCUGCGCAGGCUUGCUGCCCUUGCUAGGUGCCACCUGCUGCUGAGUCUUCUUCGGUUGUACCGCUGGACUCACUCCCACCUCCUGCCUCUGAAGGUCCUCCUCUACCUCCUGUCUCCACCAGUGCCGCCUUCGUGGCGUACCCUCAAAUCCGGUCGAAGUCCCCUCAAGAACCUCCUCAUCUGGGCCUGGUCAUCCUCCAUGCCCCGACCCGCAUACACCAAGAGUCGGUUAAACUCCCGGUCAUACUCCCGAACCGACCGCUCACCCUGUGUCAGCUCAAGAAAACGCGCCUCCAUACGGUCGAGCGCCUCCGGCAGAAAGUACUUGGCAUUAAACUCAGCCACGAAAUCUGCCCAAGACAUAUCCGCCUGCCUCCUCCUGGCAGUCACACUCCGCCACCACAAAUGUGCAUCCCCCUCUAGAAAAUGCACUGCUAGAUCUACCCGAUACUCCGCCGAGCAUCUGCUCGAACCGAAGUUCCGCUCAACCCGCGACCUCCAACUGUCGGCCUCCUCAGGACUAGUACCACCAGAAAAAUAACCGGUGCCAAUCCUCUGCAACUGCUCCAUCAUCCUCAAAUAAGAUGGAACCUCCUCAGCAACCACAGCCCGCUGCUGCACCUCCGCCACUCGUGGCGCAACUGGAGCCUCCACUGGUACCACACCUGGUAACCGCUCCAACAACUGCCUCAACAGGCCCGCCAAACCAACCUCUGGAAUCUGGGCUCCUCCGGCUGCAGCACCCAUCAAUCCUGGGCCCUCAGCACCAACGGCAUACACACCGGUACCGACACUAGCUCCACCAGCCCCCACUCCGGCUGCACCAGCUAUAUCGGCACCAAGACCGUUUCUAACCCCGGGCUCCACAAACUCAGGCUGCGAACCCACACUCUGCUCAACUGUGGCACUGUGGCCAUCACUCUCGCCGGUACCCUCGAGGACUCGUCCCCUACCGCGACCACGACCACGACCACGAACUCUAGCUCCUCUAACCAUCUGCGCUACUCAAGAACAAAUGGCUAAGAAACUAAAACAAACGAAUAUAUUACAAACAACUUACCGUGGAAUCUCAUUUAAGGCUCGGAGAAGAUGAUGCUAGGACUCCAACAACACACAAUUGACUAAACACUCCAUAAUCAAUCCUCAAUAUGCUAACACCCUAUCUCAUCCCACAUCAAUCAACAGGAAAAUAAUUCAUCAAUUAAUUUUUCUACACAUCCUAGAACCGUAAUCGCUCUGAUACCAAAUUGAAACAACCCGACCUAUUUUUUUUUUUUU
rnacentral:sRNA from 1 species